rnacentral:snRNA from 1 species
GUGCUCACUUUGGCACCACAUACACUAAAAUUGUAAUAAUACAGAGAUUAGCAUGGCCACUGCACAAGAUGACAAAUUUGUUAAGUGUUCUAUUUUAAA